UUAAUGAGAGUUUGAUCCUGGCUCAGGACGAACGCUGGCGGCGUGCCUAAUACAUGCAAGUAGAACGCUGAUGUUUGGUGUUUACACUAGACUGAUGAGUUGCGAACGGGUGAGUAACGCGUAGGUAACCUGCCUCAUAGCGGGGGAUAACUAUUGGAAACGAUAGCUAAUACCGCAUAAGAGUAAUUAACACAUGUUAGUUAUUUAAAAGGAGCAAUUGCUUCACUGUGAGAUGGACCUGCGUUGUAUUAGCUAGUUGGUGAGGUAAAGGCUCACCAAGGCGACGAUACAUAGC
rnacentral:rRNA from 1 species